rnacentral:lncRNA from 1 species
GCCAAUGGGAUUUGAGCGAUAGGAGGUGAUUAAACUCUUUGCUUUCUUCUCUUCGCAAGCUUAAACCCGACUUGUUCAUAUUUGCUAUCAUGGUAUGACCUUGCGUGACCGUUCCAAUCCUCACACUAACUUCAAUUCUUUCUUCAAGUAUCCUCAGGUCUACAGAGUUUGAGGAACACUGCUCAGCAUGGUCUCAUGGAAGGGUGAUCGCAGAGUAUUUAGUAACGUGUCAACCAUCUCGUUAUCACUCAUAAGAGACUUUCCUUGAGCAACACUUGUUCCACCUUUAGGCAUACUCUUUGAAAGAUUCAAACUCCUUUUUCAUCAUACUCUGUAGUUGUAAUCUAUGAGAUGCCACAUUCGUGUUAUAUUUGAAAUGCUUCAAGAAAGCAUCCACCAGAUCCUCCCAAUACUGGAUGCACGAAUGUUCAACAUGAUAGCCUCAAUUUAGUAGCAUGCUAGCCAAUCUACCUUGAAAGAAAUGAAUUAGCAAUCUUUCAUCACAUGCAUGAACGAUCAUUUUCUCCCAUAUGUCAUGAGGUGGCUUAUAAGACAAGCGAUCCCUCUGGAUAAUUUAAACUUUGGGAGAUAUCACCACAUCUGGGACCAAGCAUAGCUCUGCAACAUUUUCAAACUUAGAAUUUCCUCCACAUUCUAUGACUGUCAUCUUUUUUCAGCAUUUCAAACUUACCCUUGUCAACCUCAACAUCUAUUUGUGCACAAACAUGGAAAGAAGAUUUCAACUCAGAUUGCCUUAUCAUCGUCAUGCUCACGAUACUUGAUUAAAGCAUUUUCCUAGGGACCCUGAAAGUGGUUGCCCCAAGCUUGUUUUCCACUUCAACUUCGUUAUCUUCUGCCUUUCAAGUGUGAACUUGCCCCCGCACGCUCAUGAGGGUGAAGUGUAAUUUAGGGGAAGACCAUGUAAGGGAAAUUUUGGGCUUCUUGAACUUUGUUUUGAGGUUGAGGUGCACAGGAAUCUCCAGUUCCCUGUAAGGCAUUCAG